GUGAGGAAUAUUGGACAAUGGGCGCGAGCCUGAUCCAGCCAUGCCGCGUGCAGGAAGACUGCCCUAUGGGUUGUAAACUGCUUUUAUACAGGAAGAAACCUUUUCACGUGUGAAAAGCUGACGGUACUGUAAGAAUAAGGAUCGGCUAACUCCGUGCCAGCAGCCGCGGUAAUACGGAGGAUCCAAGCGUUAUCCGGAAUCAUUGGGUUUAAAGGGUCCGUAGGUGGAUAAUUAAGUCAGGGGUGAAAGUCUGCAGCUCAACUGUAGAAUUGCCUUUGAUACUGGUUAUCUUGAAUUAUUGUGAAGUGGUUAGAAUAUGUAGUGUAGCGGUGAAAUGCAUAGAUAUUACAUAGAAUACCAAUUGCGAAGGCAGAUCACUAACAAUAUAUUGACACUGAUGGACGAAAGCGUGGGGAGCGAACAGGAUUAGAAACCCUAGUAGUCC
rnacentral:rRNA from 1 species